GAAUAGUCUUAUGUGAAAUCUCUUGGCUCAACCAAGAAACGCCAUAAGAAACUUUCAUGCUAGAGAUCAUCAGAGGGAGGUAGAAUUCCAGGUGUAGUGGUGAAAUGCGUAGAUAUCUGGAGGAAUACCAAUGGCGAAAGCAGCCUCCUGGGGUGAAUCUGACAUUGAGGGACGAAAGCGUGGGUAGCAAACCGGAUUAGAUACCCGGGUAGUCCAUGCCGUAAACGAUGAAUACUGGGUCUUCGGGGAAUCGACCCCCUGUGGACCGAAGCUAACGCGUUAAGUAUUCCGCCUGGGGAGUACGGUCGCAAGACUAAAACUCAAAGGAAUUGACGGGGGCCCGCACAAGCAGCGGAGCGUGUGGUUUAAUUCGAUGGUAAACGAAGAACCUUACCUAGGUUUGACAUAUAAGUAGUACUGACCCGAAAGGUGAUGGACCCGCAAGGGAGCUUAUACAGGUGCUGCAUGGUUGUCGUCAGCUCGUGCCGUGAGGUGUUGGGUUAAGUCCCGCAACGAGCGCAACCCUCGUGGAUAGUUGUUUUCUUUAUCCAGACUGCUUUUACAAGAGGAAGGUGGGGAUGACGUCAAAUCAUCAUGGCUCUUACACCUAGGGCUACACACACGCUACAAUGGACAGUACAGACGGUUGCUAAGUCGCAAGAUGGAGCCAAUCCGAUAAAGCUGUCCCCAAUUGGGAUUGUAGGCUGAAACUCGCCUGCAUGAACCUGGAGUUGCUAGUAACCGCAGAUCAGAAUGCUGCGGUGAAUACGUUCCCGGGCCUUGUACACACCGCCCGUCACGUCAUGGAAGUUUGAAACACUUGAAGUCGCUGGGCUUACCUUUUAGGAGGCAGGCGCCGAGAGUGGGGCAAAUGACUGGGACGAAGUCG
rnacentral:rRNA from 1 species